UCUUGGUCAUUUAGAGGAAGUAAAAGUCGUAACAAGGUCUCCGUUGGUGAACCAGCGGAGGGAUCAUUACCGAGUUUACAACUCCCAAACCCAAUGUGAACGUUACCAAACUGUUGCCUCGGCGGGGUCACGCCCCGGGUGCGUCGCAGCCCCGGAACCAGGCGCCCGCCGGAGGAACCAACCAAACUCUUUCUGUAGUCCCCUCGCGGACGUAUUUCUUACAGCUCUGAGCAAAAAUUCAAAAUGAAUCAAAACUUUCAACAACGGAUCUCUUGGUUCUGGCAUCGAUGAAGAACGCAGCGAAAUGCGAUAAGUAAUGUGAAUUGCAGAAUUCAGUGAAUCAUCGAAUCUUUGAACGCACAUUGCGCCCGCCAGUAUUCUGGCGGGCAUGCCUGUCCGAGCGUCAUUUCAACCCUCGAACCCCUCCGGGGGAUCGGCGUUGGGGAUCGGGACCCCUCACACGGGUGCCGGCCCCUAAAUACAGUGGCGGUCUCGCCGCAGCCUCUCCUGCGCAGUAGUUUGCACAACUCGCACCGGGAGCGCGGCGCGCCCACGUCCGUAAAACACCCAACUUUCUGAAAUGUUGACCUCGGAUCAGGUAGGAAUACCCGCUGAACUUAAGCAUAUCAAUAAGCGGAGGAA
rnacentral:rRNA from 1 species